UACGUAGGGGGCUAGCGUUGUCCGGAAUCAUUGGGCGUAAAGAGCGUGUAGGCGGCCCGGUAAGUCCGCUGUGAAAGUCGGGGGCUCAACCCUCGAAUGCCGGUGGAUACUGUCGGGCUAGAGUGCGGAAGAGGCGAGUGGAAUUCCUGGUGUAGCGGUGAAAUGCGCAGAUAUCAGGAGGAACACCAAUUGCGAAGGCAGCUCGCUGGGACGUAACUGACGCUGAGGCGCGAAAGCCAGGGGAGCGAACGGG
rnacentral:rRNA from 1 species